rnacentral:rRNA from 1 species
UUGAAUCUGGGUCGUACGGCCACAUGCUGUGCCCAUGCUGUUCACUCUCACGAGUGRAUAAUGCACGGGUCGGUGUAGUGGUUGUGCAGCCUUUCUGCCGUGUCUGUGUAUACGGGUGCUGGCUGGCUCGGUGGGUUCUACUCGCUGGCCAGUUGGCAUGCUUCCAGAUGCCUUUCACAGGGUGUCGGGAGCGGACGGCACGUUUACUUUGAACAAAUUUGAGUGCUCAAAGCAGGCCAAUGUGCCUGAAAAUUCUUGCAUGGAAUAAUGGAAUAGGACUUCGGUUCU